rnacentral:rRNA from 1 species
AGCGAGCGGGAAGAGCUCAAAUUUAUAAUCUGGCACCUUCGGUGUCCGAGUUGUAAUCUCUAGAAGUGUUUUCCGCGUUGGACCGCACACAAGUCUGUUGGAAUACAGCGGCACAGUGGUGAUACCCCCGUACACGGUGCGGACGCCCAGCGCUUUGUGAUACACUUUCAAUGAGUCGAGUUGUUUGGGAAUGCAGCUCAAAUUGGGUGGUAAAUUCCAUCUAAAGCUAAAUAUUGGCGAGAGACCGAUAGCGAACAAGUACCGUGAGGGAAAGAUGAAAAGCACUUUGGAAAGAGAGUUAACAGUACGUGAAAUUGUUGGAAGGGAAACGCUUGAAGUCAGACUUGCUUGCCGGAGCUUGCUUCGGUUUGCAGGCCAGCAUCAGUUUUCCGGGGUGGAUAAUGGUGGUUUGAAGGUAGCAGCCUCGGCUGUGUUAUAGCUUUCCACUGGAUACAUCCUGGGGGACUGAGGAACGCAGCGUGCUUUUUGCGAAGGUUUCGACCUUUUCACGCUUAGGAUGCUGGUGUAAUGACUUUAAACGACCCGUCUUGA